rnacentral:rRNA from 1 species
CGAGCACGCGCGUGUGGCAUAUCAAUAAGCGGAGGAAAAGAAACUAACAAGGAUUCCCUUAGUAACGGCGAGUGAAGCGGGAAGAGCUCAAAUUUGAAAUCUUCAAGGUUCUACCUUGACGAAUUGUAGUUUAUAGAAGUGUUUUCUGUUAGUGGAGUGGCAAAAGUUCUUUGGAAUAGGACAUCAUAGAGGGUGAGAAUCCCGUAUUUGAUCACUUUCUACUAACGUUGUGAUACACUUUCAACGAGUCGGAUUGUUUGGGAAUGCAGUCCAAAAUGGGUGGUAAAUUUCAUCUAAAGCUAAAUAUUGGCGAGAGACCGAUAGCGAACAAGUACCGUGAGGGAAAGAUGAAAAGAACUUUGAAAAGAGAGUUAAACAGUACGUGAAAUUGUCAAAAGGGAAGCGUUUGACACCAGUGUUGUUUUUCCGAAAAUCAAUUACGAAUGUUUUGUUUUUGAGGAGUUAUGACUUCAUCGGCUUGCUUCUCUCUUUACGAAACUUUCUUAAUGCACUUUUCGGUUAACAAGUCAACAUCAAUUUCUUUUGUUGUAAAAGGGUACGAGGAAGGUGGCUUUCUUUUCGGAGAAAGUGUUUAUAGCCUUGUACCUCUGCAAUCGGAGAGAUUGAGGUCUGCAGCGUAGAUCCUUCGGGGUUAGAUACAUUUGUGCUAAGUUAUAGCUUUUCAUAGACAACUUGUUGACUAUGUUAGUCUUGUAGCUUACUCGCUGAUGCUAUUUUACCUACGCUUAGGAUGUUGAGCGCAUGUCUCUCUCU